GGGGUGUUAGCGAAGUUGGUUAUCGCGCUGGCCUGUCACGCCGGAGAUCACGAGUUCGAGCCUCGUACAUCCCGCUA
rnacentral:tRNA from 1 species